rnacentral:tRNA from 1 species
GCGGUCGUGGCGGAAUUGGCAGACGCGCAAGAUUCAGGUUCUUGUCCAGGCAACUGGGUGGAGGUUCAAGUCCUCUCGACCGCACCA